CCUACGGGAGGCAGCAGUCGAGAAUCAUUCACAAUGGGGGAAACCCUGAUGGUGCGACGCCGCGUGGGGGAAUGAAGUUCUUCGGAUUGUAAACCCCUGUCAUGUGGGAGCAAAUUAAAAAGAUCGUACCACCAGAGGAAGAGACGGCUAACUCUGUUCCAGCAGCGGCGGUACUACAGAGGUCUCAAGCGUUGUUCGGAAUCACUGGGCGUAAAGCGUGCGUAGGCUGUUUCGUAAGUCGUGUGUGAAAGGCGCGGGCUCAACCCGCGGACGGCACAUGAUACUGCGAGACUAGAGUGAGCGAGGGGGAAGCGGAAUGCGUGGUGUAGCAGUGAAAUGCGUAGAUAUCGAGAGGAACACUCGUGGCGAAGGCGGGUUCCUGGACAUUAACUGACGCUGAGGCACGAAGGCCAGGGGAGCGAAAGGGAUUAGAUACCCGAGUAGUC
rnacentral:rRNA from 1 species